UACGGAGGGUGCGAGCGUUAAUCGGAAUUACUGGGCGUGAAGCGCACGCAGGCGGUUUGUUAAGCUAGAUGUGAAAGCCCCGGGCUCAACCUGGGAUGGUCAUUUAGAACUGGCAGACUAGAGUCUUGGAGAGGGGAGUGGAAUUCCAGGUGUAGCGGUGAAAUGCGUAGAUAUCUGGAGGAACAUCAGUGGCGAAGGCGACUCCCUGGCCAAAGACUGACGCUCAUGUGCGAAAGUGUGGGUAGCGAACAGC
rnacentral:rRNA from 1 species